UGGGGAAUUGUUCGCAUGGGCGCAAGCCUGACGACGCAACGCCGCGUGGAGGAUGAAGAUUUUCGGAUCGUAAACUCCUGUCGAAUGGGACGAAUAGAUCUCGGGUGAACAACUCGAGGUCCUGACGGUACCGUUAAAGGAAACCCCGGCUAACUCCGUGCCAGCAGCCGCGGUAAUACGGGGGGGUAAGCGUUGUUCGGAAUUACUGGGCGUAAAGGGCUCGUAGGCGGCCAACUAAGUCAGACGUGAAAUCCCUCAGCUUAACUGGGGAACUGCGUCUGAUACUGGAUGGCUUGGAUUCGGGAGAGGAAUGCGGAAUUCCAGGUGUAGCGGUGAAAUGCGUAGAUAUCUGGAGGAACACCGGUGGCGAAGGCGGCAUUCUGGACCGACAUUGACGCUGAGGAGCGAAAGCCAGGGGAGCAAACGGGAUUAGAUACCCCGGUAGUCCUGGCCCUAAACGAUGAAUGCUUGGUGUAGCGGGUAUCGAUCCCUGCUGUGCCGAAGCUAACG
rnacentral:rRNA from 1 species